CAAUGAAAUCCGUCCUGCGGACGGGUGAAAUCCUGCCGUGCAGGAUGCAAUACGCGCCGCGUGUGAAAUCGCUG
rnacentral:sRNA from 10 species